CUGGAUUUUUCAAGUUUCUCUCUCUAGACUCUCAGUCUUCUUCUUUUGGUUUCUUCGAUCUUUGAUCUCUUAUAAAUUUUCCAGCCAAAAUAUUGGUUGAAUCUAUGUGAUUCAUGUUGAUACAGUAAACAUGCCUACAAUAGUAGUUGAUUGGGUGUCUGUAGUGGUUGCCUGAAAGUCUUGUUCGUGUUUUUUGUUAGGUUUUGAGAUUUAAGAGAUCCAUGUGUGGAUUGAUGACUAUUUCUGGGUCUGAUUGAGUUUUCCAGAUAUGUACUCUCUGUUUUGGAUGGUUUUCAUGUUCUUAGUAAUCGGGCCCCCCAGAUUAGGCGAUUACUGAACUGGGUGAACAACUUUAUGGUGUUCUUUUACAUUUUCUUGCACUGUGUUUGAUUUUUUAAUUACUGUUUUCUUUAACUGUGCGAAAAAAGAACUCUAACAACUGGUAUCAGAGCCUUCGAGCUCACUGGGGUUGCAAGUCUUUUGAACAAAAAAUUGUUUGAGUCAAAUUUUUUUUGGUUCAAUUCUUCUUUAGGGGGUUCAAGUUUUUUUUAAACAAAAAUCACUUGGGGGUUACUUGUGUUAGAUCAAUUCUUUAAUAUAAAUUGAAAGAUCUAAUUCUUGUCGCUUUUGUGCUGUUGUUUGGAAGGAAAAAACUUGGUGAAAAGUGGUGAGUUCACCACGGAUUACUCCCAGUAAAGGAGGAGUUCCAAUCCUCGGGUUGAGACUAGCUUAGUGUUCUUGUUACUGUAAAGGUAGUAUAUGGUGAGAAUGUUUUGAUUUUCAAGCGUCUGUAGAGUAAUUUCAAUUCUUGAUAUUUGAUAUGAGAUAUAUGCAUGUGACACAUGUUUGUAUUGGUACUGUGAUUAGAAUUGCAUAUUUCUGUCAUUAUGAGAAUACUGUGCUAGUUAAGUUUUUUAGAACACUUGGUACAAUUACUUGAUUACAAGCAUAACUCACUCUGUAUCAAAUAUUAUUGCCUUUAUUUCAAGUUGGUGCACAC
rnacentral:lncRNA from 1 species